rnacentral:rRNA from 1 species
GUGGGGAAUAUUGGACAAUGGGCGAAAGCCUGAUCCAGCCAUGCCGCGUGAGUGAUGAAGGCCUUAGGGUUGUAAAGCUCUUUCAGUAGGGAAGAUAAUGACGGUACCUACAGAAGAAGCCCCGGCUAACUUCGUGCCAGCACCCGCGGUAAUACGAAGGGGGCUAGCGUUGUUCGGAUUUACUGGGCGUAAAGCGCACGUAGGCGGAUUGGUCAGUUAGAGGUGAAAUCCUGGAGCUCAACUCCAGAACUGCCUUUAAUACUGCCAGUCUAGAGUCCAGAAGAGGUGAGUGGAACUCCUAGUGUAGAGGUGGAAUUCGUAGAUAUUAGGAAGAACACCAGUGGCGAAGGCGGCUCACUGGUCUGGUACUGACGCUGAGGUGCGAAAGCGUGGGGAGCAAACAGGAUUAGAAACCCCUGUAGUCC